rnacentral:snRNA from 1 species
CGUCGGCUGUCAGCGGACU